AGAGAGAGAGAGAGAGAGAGGCAACCUGAUACCCGGUUGACACAAGUUACAAACAAGGGAGAGAAGAGGCACUUGAAAUAUAGAACUACAAAAGGGUAAGUAGAGAUUACUCACAGUGGAAAGCAGAGCAAUGUCAAACAAACAAUCUUUAUGGCGAUAAACAAAGUCUACGGCUAGAAGUAGAUGCCCUUGCACUACAAGGCCUACAUAUGAAACAAAAGUUAACACAUGCAUUGCCAACAAAAAGUAUGCAGUACUGGCAAAUGUUAUCUGAGAGUAAUAUAAAAGUCAGAUUGUGAAUGAAGAAACUAGAGCUGGAUAGUUGAAAUAUCAUACUAUUAGAGAUGUCCAACUUAUUAAAAAGUGUUUGAAAACACUAAAGGGGAUGAGGAUAAAGGCCUAUCAUCAACUGAGUAUUAAAAGACUUGAUUAAAUAGUGUAGGGUAACAGGAAAAAUAGUUCUUUGUUCCCUCCCUCAAUUCAAAGGCAUUCAACUCCUGUGUCUUGACUAGCCAAUCCAAACAAUUAAAAAUUUGAGCACCUACAUAAUUGAACCUAUAUCCUUUUAAAUAACUGGACAAGAAGAACAGAAUGAGAAGGCUGAUGUCCAAACCACCUCCCCAAGAUACUCAAAACAAGGAAGAUGGCCAUAACAAAAUAUUCUAAUGAUUUAUUCACUCCAAAGAAGGAGAGAAAAGGCAUAAAAGAAAAAACUAACCUGUGAAACUGAGAGCACAAGAGCAUAACGUAGUGUAGAAAAUUUGGUUGUGUAUUUCCAUAUCAUAACCUUUAAAUAGUUUAUCUUGGAAUGUGCUAGUAAAGCCAUCAAACCUGUUAAAAACAAAGAAGAAUCUUAAUAAAUAGUAUAAUCACCAUGUCAGAUUUUUUCCAAAAUCCUUCUCUUGGACUAUUUAGUAGAAUACAUGCUUCUCAAUGCCAUUCAGCACAAAACCAAGAAAAUAAUUUAGUUGAACAAUAGUUACAAAAAUUUUAAGAAUAUUAUCUGUCUUUGCAUGCAGCAUUGAAAUAAGGGAUCAUAUGUCCUCUCUACAUUUGUGCAAUCCAGCGAAUAGGUAUCAUUCAUGGCAAGCAAUCAGAUAUUAGCAUGCUAGAAGCCUAGAACACGCCUCUCAGUAGGAAUAUUUGAUUUAUAACAGAAUAAACUAUAUCUCUUUUUUUUUUGUGACAAACAAAUUAGAAAUAUAAUUAAAUUCAGCAUCCUUAUAAUAAGAAGAAAGCAUUCCAAAUUGAUACCCAAGAUAACCAAGCAUCAGGGUAACACCCCAAACAGUAUUUUCCCUUCCUCUGCUGUAUGGACUGAUAUCAGUUCCUG
rnacentral:misc_RNA from 1 species